rnacentral:rRNA from 1 species
UACGUAGGGUGCAAGCGUUAAUCGGAAUUACUGGGCGUAAAGCGUGCGCAGGCGGUUCGUUGUGUCCGAUGUGAAAGCCCCGGGCUUAACCUGGGAAUGGCAUUGGAAACUGGCGAGCUUGAGUGCGGCAGAGGGGGUGGAAUUCCGCGUGUAGCAGUGAAAUGCGUAGAGAUGCGGAGGAACACCGAUGGCCGAAGGCAGCCCCCUGGGUCGACACUGACGCUCAGGCACGAAAGCGUGGGGAGCAAACAGG